rnacentral:rRNA from 1 species
GAUGAACGCUAGCGGCAGGCUUAACACAUGCAAGUCGAGGGGUAUAGUUCUUCGGAGCUAGAGACUGGCGCACGGGUUCGUAACGGGUAGGCAGUCUAGCUUUUGCAGCGGGAUAGCCCAGAGAAAUUUGGAUUAAUACCUCAUGGUAUGUGAGAAUGGCAUCAUUUUCACAUUAAAGUAACAACGGAAAAAGAGCAGCAUGCGUCCCAUUAGCUAGUUGGUAAGGUAACGGCUUACCAAGGCAACGAUGGGUAGGGGUCAUGAGAGGGAGAUCCCCCACACUGGUACUGAGACACGGACCAGACUCCUGCGGGAGGCAGCAGUGAGGAAUAUUGGACAAUGGGCGCAAGCCUGAUCCAGCCAUGCCGCGUGCAGGAUGACGGUCCUAUGGAUUGUCAGCUGCUUUUGUACAGGAAGAAACACUGGUUCGUGAACCAGCUUGACGGUACUGUAAGAAUAAGGAUCGGCUAACUCCGUGCCAGCCGCCGCGGUAAUAC